GACGAACGCUGGCGGCGUGCCUAAUACAUGCAAGUCGAACGCACUCUCGUUUAGAUUGAAGGAGCUUGCUCCUGAUUGAUAAACAUUUGAGUGAGUGGCGGACGGGUGAGUAACACGUGGGUAACCUGCCCUAAAGUGGGGGAUAACAUUUGGAAACAGAUGCUAAUACCGCAUAAAACCUAACACCGCAUGGUGUAGGGUUGAAAGAUGGUUUCGGCUAUCACUUUAGGAUGGACCGCGGUGCAUUAGUUAGUUGGUGAGGUAAAGGGCUCACCAAGACCGCGAUGCAUAGCCGACCUGAGAGGGUAAUCGGCCACACUGGGACUGAG
rnacentral:rRNA from 1 species